AGAAAUCUUGUGACGUCAUUAAAUAAAAAAAGAGAAGUAAUCAUUGUUUUUUUUCUCAUUUAGUGUUAGUAAAUUAGUUCUAAGUUAUUUUGUCAACCAAUGUUGACAGGAAAAUAAUUAAUUUAGGCCUUGUUCAGUGGGUUCUGUGAGUGGCAAAAUGCGAGCUUUUCUGACGAAAUAUGGUUUUGUAAUUUCUAGCAUUUCAAUUGCAGUUUGUAGAUCACAAUUUAAUAAUUCUAAUUAUUCCUCGGGACAAAUCACCUGUCCAGAUCAUGGCGACAUAGAAGUACGUAUUCAACUAGAUAGUGAGCCUCACUAUUUCAAAUUCACGUAAUUAAGAGCAACAGCACUUGACGCUCAGGAACAAUCAUUGCUUUCAAUUAAAUUGAAUUUGAAAUAGCAGAGAACUACUAGUUGAAUAGGUCUUCAUAGUUGACCAAAUCUCGACACGCAGAUCCCUCUACCUAAAAGAAAGACCUUGGAAGCUACGGCUCUUUUCCUUCAAGCGACCAGAAAGGAUUGCUAUAUUUCUGUUCAUAGCAGGCUCACUCUUCCAAAUUCAAGUGAUUUUGAGGAACAGCACUUGCCGCAAAGGAACAAUCAUUGCUCCAAAUCAAUAUGAAUUUCGAAGAGAAGAGAACUAUGUACAGAAUAAACGGCAGUUUUAUCCACAUAGUAGCUCGAAGAAAAAAAAAUCGGAUAUUGUAAGUUUUGACAAAGACAACUUCCGCGACAACCAGGCUCACUCUUCCAAUUUUAUAUGAUUCCUCGGAACAGCACUUGCCGUCCAGGAUCAAUCAUUGCGAAGAAUCAACUAAAAUUGGCAGAGCAGAGAGUUGGGUAGCGAAACUUAUAGUUGGACGCCUGGGAAUCCUAUAGUCGGAGGCAGAGAACAAAAACCGGAUUCAUGCUAAAGCAGGCUCAUUCUUCCAAAUUUAGGUGAUUUCGAGCAACAGCACUUGCCGCAUAGGAUCAAUCAUUGCUCCAAAUCAAUUAAAUCUGGAAGAAGAGAGAACUUUUGCUUGAACUUUUUUUUCGUAAUCUGAUAACUCGAUUAUAGAGAGCUCCAUAAUAAUAAAAAAAACCUUCGUUUUUUUUUCACCCGAUCCGGGAUAAUUGUUACCUAUGUGAUAGGUCACAAUCCAAAUUUGCUUUUUUGUAUUUUUUCUUUUGUUUUUUAUAUGUUUUCUUUUAUUUUUUGUAAAUAUUCAUAUUUUGUUUAUAUUUUCAUAAUUUUGUAAAUACUCGUAAAUUUGUAAAUAAUUAUGCUUUAACCCUAGUUUAAAUGUAAAUAUCUUAAUAUGUAAAUACAAUCCCUUUCCCCCUAUCCUUCGAUACCACUUACCCUUAAUACAACAAAUGAAUUAAAUAAAAAGAAAAUGAAUUUGUAAAUAUAAAUAAUUUAAAUUUGAAUUUGAAACCCUUCCUAUAAAACCUCUGGUAUCGCCAUUCCCUUUUAUGCACAAAAAAACAUGGCGCGAGAUACCAACCAUACGGAAGCAAAACUCUCCCGGGAAAUGUUCCGUAUACUAUGCUUCGUCAUGACUUCGAAAAGUGAAUUUUGCAUAUAAGGCGAUGCAAGAGGAGCCAAAGGAUCUUUCCGGAACAAAAUUCCUCUAAUUUCGUGUGUGACCAAUCAGCAUACAAUUUGGUUUCUUGGUGCCAGAGUGUUCAGCGAAGUGGUCGGAAUAUCGACGAGUGCCCGAGCGUUCAAGCCCAGCUGGAAAAAUCCCGUAACCAAAAGGUCGAAAAACGGUUUCUCACCCGUCAGCAGUAUCUACAAGUCUGACCGACUGCCGCCGAGAAGUAGUCAACCCGGUCGUAGCCAAUAGGUCGAACAUCCUCGGCCGGCGAGUAAUCUACGCAGCUGGUGUGGUCAGGUGAAUUUUUGUGCAAUCCCUCAUAAUCCGUUUAAAAGAAAUCCUUGUAAAUAUAUAAUACAUUUAACCCUUUAAUUUAAAAUCAAUAUA